ensembl:lncRNA
GUCUGCCCUGACUUCCUCACUUUCAUCAACUUUUCGAUUGGGCAAACACAAUUACUUUCAUGCACGGCAGGUGGGCCCACCUACAACUUAGACGUGCUUUUCAGGUAGGAGUGUGUGCCUGCCUGUUCGUUCAUUCCUUUGUAAUUGUAGGGUCAGCAUUGCGCUGAAAAGGCUUUGAGGACACCGUGUAAUCCUCUCCUCUUUCUUCCUGUGCAAUCACCAAACCUUCACUGUUGACAUUGGACUACGUCUAAUGCCGUAAGUGAAUGAAAGCCUGACGACGAAAGCGAGAGGAGAGUCGAUGCCCGUUGAUGCUGACACAUGAAAGCUGUGUGUGCCUGCCAGCACAGAUAGCGGUUGAUGGUUAUUCCUGGAACACUUACGAUGGCAAGAUGAUGUUCAGACUACACAUAACACACUCUGCAGGAGAGAAUGAGAUACACCAGGACACCUGUCCCACUCAGUCCUAUCAUCAAUACACAGGAAUCCAACUGCACGUCCGGAUGAAGAUGACCCACUAACAAGCACA